rnacentral:rRNA from 1 species
UACGUAGGGUGCAAGCGUUUGUCCGGAAUUAUUGGGCGUAAAGAGCUCGUAGGCGGCUUGUCGCGUCGGCUGUGAAAACCUGGGGCUCAACCCCGGGCCUGCAGCCGAUACGGGCAAGCUAGAGUUCGGUAGGGGAGACUGGAAUUCCUGGUGUAGCGGUGAAAUGCGCAGAUAUCAGGAGGAACACCGGUGGCGAAGGCGGGUCUCUGGGCCGAUACUGACGCUGAGGAGCGAAAGCGUGGGGAGCGAACAGG